rnacentral:rRNA from 1 species
UACGGGGGGAGCAAGCGUUGUUCGGAUUUACUGGGCGUAAAGGGCGCGUAGGCGGCCACCGCAAGUCGAUUGUGAAAUCUCCGGGCUUAACCCGGAAAGGUCAACCGAUACUGCGGGGCUAGAGUGCAGAAGGGGCAACUGGAAUUCUCGGUGUAGCGGUGAAAUGCGUAGAUAUCAGGAGGAACACCGAUGGCGAAGGCAGGUCUCUGGGCUGACACUGACGCUCAUGCACGAAAGCGUGGGGAGCAAACAGG